GAUGAACGCUGGCGGCGUGCCUAAUACAUGCAAGUCGAGCGAACAGACGAGGAGCUUGCUCCUCUGACGUUAGCGGCGGACAGGUGAGUGACACGUGGAUAACCUACCCAUAAGACUGGGAUAACUUCGGGAAACCGGAGCUAAUACCGGAUAAUAUAUUGAACCGCAUGGUUCAAUAGUGAAAGACGGUUUUGCUGUCA
rnacentral:rRNA from 1 species